ensembl:snoRNA small nucleolar RNA SNORA2/SNORA34 family
AUGGCCCUGAAUCAAGGCCAGCAGUUUUCUGAAGCUAUUGAUUUCAAGCAGGAGCUAUAGGAGUAUCUUUCUAUGAUCGGUUGGCCAUUUUAGAACUUGAGAGAUACAAAGGUCAAUUCAUUAGAAAGAAACAACU